CUGCCAUUAUCAGUUAUGAGGACUUUCGGUAUCUCGAACCUGCAUAUGAUGGAUCUCCAAAUGAAACUUCUUAACUUCGGCUCUGAAAUUGUUGCUAAAGGCUUGGCGUCCACCCACUUAGUGAAAUACUCUACAGCCACAACCACAAACUUCAAUCGUCCCCUAGUUAUUGGAAAGGGGACCAAGGAUGUCAAUUUCCCACUGCUCAAAUGGGGUUGUGCAACUAAUGUUAGUGAGGUCCUCUGCGGGAGGGUGGAUGACAUUGCCAAAUCUUUGGCACUUGUCACAUUUCUUGACAUAUUCCUGGGUGUCUUUCUUCAUGGUUGGCCAAUAAUAUCCAUACAUUAUGAGCUUGAAGGCUAAUGUCCAAGCUCCUUGAUGGUUCCCACAUACUCCUUCAUGAACUUCUUCUGGGGCCUGGGAUGAUUCGGAAGGCCUAAGGCAUCUGAGGUAUGGAAGUGUGAGGCUCCUAUGAAAUAAAACUCCUUCAAUCAUGUAAUACGUCAGAGCUUUGGACCGGAUGCUUGUCGCUGCUCAAGGAUCUUCUGGAAGAUUGCCAUGUUUUAUGAAGUACACUAUUGGAUCCAUCCACGAUGGCUCAUUAUCAAUAUCCAUGACGCCUAUAGUCUGAUUGAUGCUUGGCUCGGUUACAAUUCUAACGUGGAUUGUCCUAUUAAGCCCAUCUAUUCCCAUGAACACCAAUCUUGACAAGGCAUCGGCCUUACAAUUCUCAACCCGAGAAAUUUUCACAAUUUCACAACUCUUGAACUUUCUCUGGAGAUCAUGCACUUUCAAGCAGUAUAAGCUCAUCUUCUCGUCCUUCCUAUCGAACGUCUCUUCGAUUUGUCCAACCACCAACUGGGAAUUACUGUAAAUUUGAUAUUUUCAAGCUCGAGAUUCAUGGCGAGUUCCAUGGCUAUGAUGACGGCAUCAUACUCUGCCUCAUUAUUGGUCACCUCAAAUUCGAACCUGAGUGCCACUGAAUGUUUAUGAGCACGUCCGGGCUUAUGAUUAUGACUCCUGCACCCGAGCCCGAAGAGUUUGAUGCUCCCGAGCUACCAUUUGGCCCCCGAGGCCUUGGGAUGAG
rnacentral:lncRNA from 1 species